GUGAAUCAUCGAAUUUUUGAACGCAAAUUGCACUCUCUGGUAUUCCGGAGAGUAUGCCUGUUUGAGGGUCAGUAUAAAUAAUAAUCGACCUGUUUCUGUUUGGCGACCGAACGGAGUUGGGUGAGCUUUGACCUUUUAAAAAGAUUAAGUGACCUAGACUUGAUAUAUUGGGCAUCUGUGA
rnacentral:misc_RNA from 1 species